rnacentral:rRNA from 1 species
UACGUAGGGUGCGAGCGUUGUCCGGAUUUAUUGGGCGUAAAGAGCGUGUAGGCGGCCAGGUAGGUCCGUUGUGAAAACUCGAGGCUCAACCUCGAGACGUCGGCGGAAACCCUCUGGCUAGAGUCCGGAAGAGGAGAGUGGAAUUCCUGGUGUAGCGGUGAAAUGCGCAGAUAUCAGGAAGAACACCCGUGGCGAAGGCGGCUCUCUGGGACGGUACUGACGCUGAGACGCGAAAGCGUGGGGAGCAAACAGG